ACAGGUACAAGAUGUGUAUUUAGACUUUUGUUAACUAAAUACACCUUGAAGCUGUGGACUCCUUAUAGACAAACUCUGGGUGAAAAUGUAGAACAGGAAAUUAUGUCAUCGCCCCUUUAACGUUGAUGUUUUGGGGACAAUUACUUUCAUAAGUGGAACCAUGUAGAACUAUCUCACUCUCUAUCCACACAUUUACAGUAUAUGCUAACAAUAAUAUAAUAUACACUAUGUAUAUAUGGGUUAUUACAACAACAGGUUAAUUCAUAGCAGCAACAUGUCCACAUCUAUCAAAAAUGUAAAGCAUCAAAAUAAAAAAAAGUCAUAUUUUCAAAACGCAGUCAUAAUGUGGUGGUUGUAAAAUGUGGACUACAAAGCACAUUCCAGACUGAUGUGGAUCAUAAAUAGCAGAGAAAAAUAAAAACGGUGGUUUGUUUUUUAUUUGAACACAUAUUUUCCAUAUUUUCUUAGGAAAUGAUUCCACGGGCCGUCGCUAGAGGGCGACGUCCAUCAAGUCACAAGAGGAAGUUGAAGCGGAUGUUCGUUUUCAUCGAAGAAGAGCAACGAAAACAAUCUCAUGCUACUUGUGCACAUCUUUCUCCCGUUCGUCUCUUUUUUUGUUUGCUCAUUGUUUUUUUCAGGGGAACAUCAUGCCCGUUAUUUGUGCAGCAACCGGGUGCAACAACAAGUUUGUCAAAGGGUCGGAAAUAAGAUUUUACAGGUUCCCACUCAGCAAACCUCAACUUGCAACUAAAUGGGUUCACAGUCUUGGGAUGAAGAACUUCGUCCCAACUGCCAACACGUGUCUCUGCUCGGAGCAUUUCAGGCCCGACUGCUUCAGAGACUACAACGGCAAACAGUUCCUGAGGGAGGACGCGGUGCCCACUAUAUUCGCCCAAGGACACGAUUCAUCCAAGAUCGAACUUCGCAAACGAGGGGUGGUACCGAAGGAGACCAACGUGGCCAAUCAGAUGGGAACGCAAGCAGACAAGGAGAGAGACGCACGCAGAGACAAACGGGGCGGAUUCAGGGGAGGACGAGGAGGACGUGGAGGAAAGCAGGUGACUGACAGGCAGAAUCUUGGAGCCAAAAGCCGAGUGUACGACAGCAAAGGCCGACUGCUGUCCAACGGCAAAGACAUGUGUGACUGUCUGGAUGUGGACUGUACGGGCUGCUUCUACCCCUGCCCCGACUGCGGCUCACGCAAGUGCGGGGUCGAGUGCCGCUGUGACCGGAAGUGGCUUUAUGAGCAGGUGGAAGUGGAGGGUGGAGAAAUCAUCCGAAACAAGUUUGCUGUGUAGUCAGCAGACGCAGCCGCAGCCGCAGCCGCAGCCGCCUUAAGGCUCAGCGUCUUGGCCUCAGAGAGCCUGUGGAGCGCCUAACGUCAGAGGACCACAGGCUGGACAUAAUAGAGGGGCCGUACGCACCGGAGCCAGCAGCAUGACACAGCACUUCAUCACAGCGGCUAAAGCAAGACUGUUCACACAUUAAAGCCUCAUUCAUACACAUCUCCGCUGUCCUUGAGCUCAGCGGGGGGUCGAGUGUCACGUGGUGAAGAGCUGCUUUACCACCCGUCUGGAGCUGGUGGGCGUUUUAAAGUGAGCAGCCGGCUACGCGUGACAUCCCAGAAUGUAGAUGUGCUGUUCACGGCUACAUCUGAAUGAAUGUUAAAAUUCACAGAGCAGAGACUGAGCAGAUGCAAACUGAGGGUUACUUAAUGUUUAUUCAUGUCGCACAUUAGUCACGCUUCCAGUUUAUUACGUUAGGAGGGGUUCCUUUCUACCUGUGUGGGACUCGUCCCCUCUGGGACCACAGAACUUUCACCAUUUGGCUCAGAAACGUUCUUUCCCACCUCCUACCAGAUGCUCCUGUCUGAACCCAACCAGCAGACCUCCACCCACACACCUGUUAGCACGUCCUCAUUAGCUCCACCACACACAGGUCCACUGCACUCAGCAGAACCGGGUCGACUAUAGGAACGGAUUACUGCGACCAAACACCGGCCAUGCAAAUCAUGACAAGCUUGAUUAGUGCAGGCUAAUAAACAGGCAGCUGAUGGCGGUAAACACUGAACCUGCUGGGCAGUAGCUCAAAGCUGCUGUAGCCUCGUUUAUAGGAUCCAUCAUCCGUUGGCUCUCAUAGAACAGCCCAGUGGGAGUGAAAGGCAGCAGCUCAGGCUCAGCUUGUUCUACAUCAGCAUACGAAGUUAAGACAGGCCACAGCACACGUACAACACAUGCAGGAGACCGUUUAGGACCCUCCAUCCUUCAAACAGUGCUUUUCACAGCUCUUAAUAAAAGAUGUGUUUGGGACAGA